AGUCCAGCAUGGUCCCAUUUUAACUUAAUUACACCUGCUUCCAAGUAAGAUCUCGUUCAUGGGUGAGAACUUGAAUAUAUGCUUUCAGAGGGUGCAACUCAGCCAACAAAAUGUUCUCCCAAGAUUGUUUAUUCAUAUGUAUCAUACUCUUGGAGUACAUCUUCAAGGAAACCAAAUGUCUGUUGAUAUUGCUAAAUACUUUCUUAACUCUCUCCUGGGUUUCUCACUGCCCAUUUUCCCAAAGUCAAAUAUAAUACAUAAAAUAUCUCCACUCUCCUGAGACAUGACACCUACUGGGAUUUUUCUGAAGAUAGUUUAGGUGAAGAGGGGGCAAAACAAAAGACACAUAGGAAUGGUUGAUUUACAGGGAUGAGAACAGGUUGAAAAGAGGUACCUUAAUGAAAGAUAAAAGGAUUUUGUAAGAGGAGAUGCGGGAUAAAUUUCACUGAUUUUUUUCUCCAGCCAGCUGUGUUUCUGAUGGUAACAUGAAUUGUCACUUUAUUUGCAUUUUACUGCAUUCUUUAUUUGCAGAAAAAACAUUUCAUACAUUAAUGUGUGUAUACACACACACACACACACACACACACACAUAUAUGUAUAUAUAAUGCCUUCAUUUGGAAAUUUUCUAAUGUCAGCUUUUAUUCAACAGAUUCUUAUAAAAUAUGAUUUGUUAUGCACCGUAUUAGGUAUUGGAGGAACAAAGGACACGUCACUGACAUGACAAGGGGUGCAUUUGAGGAAGGUUAAAUGGGGCAUUGUAAGGGGAAUGGAAUGGAAGAAGAGACAGACAGACUGGAUGAGGGGACUGGUUUAGAUACUUUUAUAGUAGCUCAGGUGAGAGGCAAUGAGAGUUUGAAUUACAGCAUAAACACAGGGCUGGGAGGCAGGAGCUAAGUCAAGAACUUGGACAAAAGUGGAUACAGAAUCUUGUGACACAUCAGUCAUCAGAUGUGGGUAAAUAAAUGUAAUUCAUAUGACCCUUGGAAUUUAUUUCACCCAUAGAGAUGUAGAUCAUCCUGACCCGAUAUUCCCAAUGGGAAAAACUAGUUAGUCCAGCACCCUGUCUGUAACACCUGUGGAUCAUCUGUCUUCCCUGUGGCUACCUCUUCUUAUGUCCUGUGUUAGCUUGUGAUGUUUAGGUUUCUUCUUUGCUGAGCUAGACAUCUUAAUUCAUCUCUUGAUUGAUGCCACUAUAAAUGCAUUCACAUUAAGAUUUUUGCAACUUUGUGGACGAGUUUUGGGUCACACUACAAGGUAGUCUUAUCAGAGCACACAUGGUUGAUCAUGAUUUUGUAGGAAUCCUCUGACAUCUCUCUCUUAACCACCCUUCUCAAGCUCUCAGCAUCUCGCAUUUGCAAAAUUCUCCUGGCAUGUGACCAUUUCUUGAUCAUUUAUAUACAGUUGGAUAAGAAAAGAAGAAUCACUAUGGGUGAUACGAAGUCAUUCUCAUGCUUUAUUUAGGUAUAGAUAUAGGCCUUGUUAUUGACCUCAUGGGUUAUACAGUCUACUUAAGAUACUUAUGUAUGUGCUUGCCUUUGAGUUUGAAGUUAUCAAAGCUGGUGCUUAAGAAAGAAAGAUGAAUGUGACAUGCAAAAGAGAGGACAAAUGGGAAUUUGAGGGAAAAAUCUUGGUCUCACAUCUGUCUGUCACCCCCUCCAAUCUCAGUGAUAGGGUGCAGAUAGGUGAGUGUCCCUCACCAAGGAGCUGCACAACCACCUGACUCAAGGCUCAGAGAAGCUGAAGGGGAAGGUCAGGUGGGAGCUGGGAGCAUUGGGCCUGGCCACUGCCCACAAUCCCCCAGGGGAAUCCACAGAGGAGCACCUGGAUGCACAACAACCCUCCAGGUGGCAACACAGCUGCUGCUUCUCUUCUGGCUUCCAAAUUACAUGCAGAGUUCCUUUGUAGAAUAAUUGAAAAUUCAGAGAAGUGGAUUCUGGGAAAGAAUUUCCAGCUUAGCUAAGUCAUCUGGGGCAGUGGGGCACAAUCCACAGAUCUACCAUCAUUAUGGAAAGAUGGUCCUGCUCUGUUGUGUUUUCAGGAAAAACGAAAGGGCUCCCAGGCCUGCUUGAUGCUUCCAGAUGCCUGGUGACAGGAAUCAAGAACCAGGGAAAGGCCUCAGGAUGCUGAGUUCAGAAAUUGUGAGGAUCGAGGGGUGAGAAAUCGAGAGCAGCCUUGAUGUGUUCUAAUGGCUAAUGCAGAGUCUUUGCUCACAUGUCUACAUACUGAGUACCAUGCUGAAUGCCAGCUUAUUGUAAUCUCAGUGCACCAGAGAUCUAUGAGAAUUUGUGACACAGGAAUCUCUGGACUGGGGAAGCUGAGCAAGUUUUCUUUGAAGAGUGAAGGUGAGUUUAUCUGGAAGAAGAGUCAGGAGAAGAAUGGGGUAGAAUAUUGAAGACAGAAGAAACCAAACACGUAAAAACCCUGGAGCAGGCAGAAUGAAUGGAGAUUAGAACCUACAGCAAAAAGUUCAAUAGAACUUCCCUCAGGUCAGAAAAGACGGGUUUCAGUCAAUAACUAAUGAAGGCAAUAUUCACUGUUAGUGUUUUCCCAUAACCCUUUAUCAAGAUUUCUCCUGGGUUGCUCAGAUAUUUUUUUCCCCUGGCUUCCUUCUCUUUCUUCUUUCUUUCUUUCUCCUUCCUUCUUUUCUUUCUUUCUUUCUUUCUUUCUUUCUUUCUUUCUUUCUUUCUUUCUUUCUUUCUUUCUUUCUUUCUUUCUUUCCUUCCUUCCUUCCUUCCUUCCUUCCUUCCUUCCUUCUGAAUGUUGAAUUUUAUCCAUUUUUUUACAUCUCUUGAGAUGAUCAUGAUUUUCCUCCUAGAUUAUCUUAAUACCAUCAACUUUAAUUGAUUUAACAUAUUAAAUCUUGCAUGUUGAAUACAAGUAACUUAGUAGUAAUAUAGUAUCAUUUUAUACAUUUCUGGAUUUGUUUCAUAUUAUUUAUUUAGGAUUUUUACAUCUAUAUUCAACAGUGCAAUUGACCUACAAUUUUUUCUUUCUUCCUGUGUCCUUGUUUCAGAACUAAGGCUAUGGUGGUUCCUAAGACAAGUUGAUGUGACCUCUCACUUCGUCUUUUCUCCAGAAGAGUUUAUUUUAACUUUUUUAUCACUUUUUUUUGUGUAGACACAUUUAUCUAUAUAUUCAUAAUGUUUGUGCUUCUUCAUGCCUAUCUGAAUCAUUACCUCUCCACUUGGAUUUUCUUUUCCCUAAGACACCUUUCGCACUUACUUUGUUUUAGGUUUGCUAGUGACAAAUUCUCUCAGAUGCAGUUUAAAUGAAAAUCUCUUCAUUC
rnacentral:lncRNA from 1 species